AGGGUUCGAUUCUGGCUCAGGAUGAACGCUAGCUACAGGCUUAACACAUGCAAGUCGAGGGGUAGCAGGGUAGCAAUACCGCUGACGACCGGCGCACGGGUGAGUAACACGUAUCCAACCUUCCCAUAACUCAGGGAUAGCCUUUCGAAAGAAAGAUUAAUACCUGAUAGUACUUUUUCAAGGCAUCUUGAGAAGUUAAAGAUUUAUUGGUUAUGGAUGGGGAUGCGUUCCAUUAGAUAGUUGGUGAGGUAACGGCUCACCAAGUCUUCGAUGGAUAGGGGUUCUGAGAGGAAGGUCCCCCACAUUGGUACUGAGACACGGACCAAACUCCUACGGGAGGCAGCAGUGAGGAAUAUUGGUCAAUGGGCGAGAGCCUGAACCAGCCAAGUAGCGUGAAGGAUGAAGGUCCUAUGGAUUGUAAACUUCUUUUAUAGUAGAAUAAAGUGAUCCACGUGUGGAUUUUUGUAUGUAUACUAUGAAUAAGGAUCGGCUAACUCCGUGCCAGCAGCGGC
rnacentral:rRNA from 1 species